CGCCGGGUCCGCGGGCGCUGGUUGCGGCGGUGGGGCUGUGAGCAGAGCCGGGCCUGGGCAGUGGCGGCGCCUUAGGACCUCGCGCGCGGUCCGCGGGCUCCGGGGCGGGGGCUCCAGCGGCGAAGCCCCCUCCCCGGGGAGGCGGGGCCUGGGCGAGCUCCCGAGCCGCGAGCGGCGGCGGCAGGGAACCAUGCAUCAGAAGCUGCUGAAGAGCGCACAUUACAUCGAGCUGGGCAGCUACCAGUACUGGCCGGUCCUGGUGCCCCGCGGCAUCCGCCUUUACACCUACGAGCAGAUCCCGGUGUCCCUCAAGGAUAACCCGUACAUCACCGACGGCUACCGGGCCUACCUGCCCUCCAGAUUGUGUAUCAAAAGUUUGUUUAUUUUAUCUAAUGAGACGGUAAACAUCUGGAGUCAUUUGCUGGGUUUCUUUCUCUUCUUCACCCUGGGAAUAUAUGAUAUGACAUCUGUGUUACCUUCGGCAAGUGCGUCCAGAGAAGAUUUUGUAAUUUGUUCUAUUUGUCUUUUCUGUUUCCAGGUAUGUAUGCUUUGCUCUGUGGGCUAUCAUCUUUUUUCCUGCCAUCGGUCAGAAAAAACCUGUCGAAGAUGGAUGGCAUUAGAUUAUGCAGGAAUUUCUAUUGGAAUACUGGGAUGCUAUGUCUCAGGAGUAUUUUAUGCAUUUUAUUGUAAUAAUUACUGGCGACAAGUAUACUUGAUCACAGUGCUUGCCAUGAUCCUGGCAGUGUUCUUUGCUCAGAUUCAUCCCAAUUACCUCACACAGCAAUGGCAGAGGCUCCGUUCUAUCAUCUUUUGUUCUGUUUCGGGUUAUGGAGUAAUCCCUACUCUUCACUGGGUUUGGCUCAAUGGAGGAAUUGGUGCUCCUAUUGUACAGGAUUUUGCACCUCGUGUAAUUGUGAUGUAUGUGAUUGCUCUUCUUGCUUUCCUAUUCUACAUCUCCAAAGUUCCAGAACGGUACUUUCCAGGACAACUAAACUACCUCGGAUCUAGCCACCAAAUAUGGCAUAUCCUUGCAGUAGUGAUGUUAUAUUGGUGGCAUCAGUCAACAGUGUAUGUCAUGCAGUACAGACAUAGCAAGCCUUGUCCUGACUAUGUUUCACAUUUGUGAAGAAUUCAGAAUCAGGAAUGAAGAAUCAGGGAAUAUCUGUCACAUCUUAUGGCAUCCCACCUGGACAGAGUAUACGAUUUGAAGAUUGUGAUUGACUGGCAUAAAGCUGUACAACUCUCCACUUGGCAGGAGUAAAUGCCAAGAAUCCAUCAGAAGUAUCUACUGUUUAGAAGGAAAUGGAGCAGCACCAAAUGGGUCUAAUUCUACUGGUUGGGACUGUUGGGACUGAUGUGGUGGGAUGCUUUGCACCACAAGUUCUGUAAAGGGCACGGCACCAAAGUCAUCUAUUUUCAUCGCAUCUGCACUAUGGAAUGACCCAUGUAGUGAAUUCUGUCUUGGCCGCCCAGGCAGGACAGUAUUGUGAUCAGCACGGAUGUCACUCAGGCCUUGAUGUGGCUGGUGCCAUGGCAGGUCUGGAGGAUGGAAGGGCUUGGCACCAAAGGGAUCCAACAGACUCUCCUCUGGUUGUAGGACACUCCCCCUGUCUUUCCCAUCAGUCAGUGCAACACUAAUGUUCUCCUUGGAGUCUGAGAUGGUUAAAAAUUCAUUGCUGCUUUGAGAAUCUCGGCGGCCCACUUUCUUGUGCCUGCGAGCCCUCUCUGGAGUGCGAUAGGUCGGCUUCAAAGUCUUCUUCGUGCUAGUUGGUGUGCCAUGAUGCCGCUUCCCGUUACUUUUGGACAUAUCCUGCUUUGUACGCCUCUGGCGAGAGGACAGUUUUUGUAAGCUGCGCUGUUUGACUUUCUGCUGUUGACUCCCAGUUAUCUCCUCAAAGGGCACAAGCCCAAAAAGGUCCUCCUUACUUUCACUUUUACUUGUUGAUGUGGGAAAGGGCUGAAAGGGAGUGCAGCCAAAUAUAUCUACACUUUUGGGACAACCAGGAAGAGCAUGUGCCUCAGACCCUACUACAGGGCAGUCUUGGAUAUUCACCUUCUUGCCAAAGGGCGCCUUCGUGAAGACAUCAAAUUCCUCUUGCUCUAGUCCAACAGUAGGAAACACCUGUUGAGAGAGGUUCUUUUCAUUCUCUCCUUGCUGGGGCUGUUGAGCACGCACUGCAAAGAAAGGAACGGCACCAAAUACAUCAAACUCCUGUUUGGGAGUCUCCACCCCAACAUCAGAAGGUACAUGGGUUAGGGUGAGGAGUGCUGCAUUAGGAUCUUGGGUUGGUCCACUGCCAGAUUUCUCUCUGUAGACAGUGCUCACACUGCUGUACUUUGCUUUGGCCUGCUCAUACUCAGAAUCAGAGCUAUGUUUCUCCUCCUCUUCCUCAUCUUCAGAAUCCAUGAGGAGAGGCCUGUGACCCAGAUUUUCCGGUUCAGUAUCAUCAUCAUUAAAAUCUCCUUGUUCUCCAGGAACUUCUUCAUCGUCUUGGUCUUCCUCUUCACUGCUCUUAGGAGAAGGGGGAUCUGAUUCAAAAUCACUUUCAGAGUCAUCAUUCCCCUUUUGUACAUGACCUCGUACUGAUAAAUUUGCUGAGGUUUUCUUUUCAAUCCGCUGAUAUUUAGAUAUUGGACUUGCUUUUCCAUUCUUUAUAGGGUUUGUAGUGCUAUUUUCUUGAUUCAUGGAUGGAUAUUCACCUUUCUUUUCUGGAGAACCUGCAGGUUCAAAUAAAAAAUAUUAUAGGCUUCCAGUACAUUUCAAACAUGGCAUUACAUAUCCCUCAUACCAGUUCCCUCAAAGGAAAAAAUAAUGUCUUCAAUUCUUUGUCACUGUCCUCAGGUAGAUGGUUAGGUCCUUACUGCAGACACAUACUUGUCUCUGGUCCCUAUACACUACUUACU